rnacentral:tRNA from 1 species
UGGGGAUUGGCCAAGUGGUUAAGGCAACGGACUUUGACUCCGUCAUCACAGGUUCGAGUCCUGUAUCCCCAGCCA